AUAGUGUUCUCAAUUCAUACAUACAGUGAAUCUUAUAUUGUGAAUCUUAUAUUGCAAAAGUUGCUAUUGGUGAUGAAUUUAAGUGGAAUUUUUAGCAUUUGAACAAUUAUUGCAACUAUUUAAUUAUUGUACAGUUAUCAAGGCGGUCAAUUUGACUUUUGGGUAAUAGCAGAGGAUAGCUUGAAUUUAGUUACAGACAUCUAUAGCGUUGAAAGAAUGAAAAGCUUUUACCUUCUGAUGACAAUAGCAUUUCAGGCACAGAAGCAGCCUUGGUGACUGUUGACCGUGUUAAUCUUCAAGUACUCGAAGAAACAUAUUCAACUCAUGCAAGCUCAAAGGCAUGAUAAGUUUUUGAAACUCACCUUCUGAAUAAGGGUUCCAAACGAAAUGAUGGAACUCCACUCUUCCACAUUUUAGCUUUGUACAUCUCCUUCCAUGCCUCUACUAUUUCAUCAAUUUUGAAGGCAAGACCUGCCAGUGAAAAAGUUAACAUCUAUAUCUGUUGGAGAAGCUCCUGCAAGUUCAAAUUUCUCAACUGAAGCCGCAAGAGUUUCAUGCCACAUAGGUAGCCCUGAUUUAAACUCCACAAUUGAGUGUUCGUACAGAAUGGUACCCCAUAGGAGAUUUAUUUGAGACCUCAUAUGUGCCUCCUGUGCUGCAAGCUCUUCUGAGGACAUACUUUUAAAAACCCCAUCCAACCCCAUGUUCUGCAAAUCCAAUAUAGAAUAAUUUGAAUAGGACAUUUUACUCAAGUUCUGCUUUUCAGAUUCUUCCCAUAUCUGCACUUCUUUCUCCAUAUUUUCUUCAGCAUUGUUGUAAAGAUGGAGAACCUCAGCGGAAGGCUAUGUUAAUGACUCUACAUUACUGUUGAGUGCAUAAUUCCACACAAGUUUUGCUCGCUCAAA